CCCCCGACCGCGCCGGCUUCCUGGGCACCAGCGGCUUCGGUUCGCUGGACAACAUCAGCGUGCUGGAACGCUGGGAGGGGGA
rnacentral:tRNA from 1 species